AGUGAACGCUGGCGGUAGGCCUAACACAUGCAAGUCGAACGGCAGCACAGUAAGAGCUUGCUCUUACGGGUGGCGAGUGGCGGACGGGUGAGGAAUACAUCGGAAUCUACUUUUUCGUGGGGGAUAACGUAGGGAAACUUACGCUAAUACCGCAUACGACCUACGGGUGAAAGCAGGGGAUCUUCGGACCUUGCGCGAUUGGAUGAGCCGAUGUCGGAUUAGCUAGUUGGCGGGGUAAAGGCCCACCAAGGCGACGAUCCGUAGCUGGUCUGAGAGGAUGAUCAGCCACACUGGAACUGAGACACGGUCCAGACUCCUACGGGAGGCAGCAGUGGGGAAUAUUGGACAAUGGGCGCAAGCCUGAUCCAGCCAUACCGCGUGGGUGAAGAAGGCCUUCGGGUUGUAAAGCCCUUUUGUUGGGAAAGAAAAGCAGCAGGUUAAUACCCCGCUGUUCUGACGGUACCCAAAAAAUAAGCACCGGCUAACUUCGUG
rnacentral:rRNA from 1 species